UACGUAGGGUGCGAGCGUUGUCCGGAAUUAUUGGGCGUAAAGGGCUCGUAGGCGGUUUGUCGCGUCGGGAGUGAAAUCCACUGGCUUAACUGGUGGCUUGCUUUCGAUACGGGCAGACUGGAGGUAUGCAGGGGAGAACGGAAUUCCUGGUGUAGCGGUGAAAUGCGCAGAUAUCAGGAGGAACACCGAUGGCGAAGGCAGUGGGCUGGGCCGGCACUGACGCUGAGGAGCGAAAGCGUGGGGAGCGAACAGG
rnacentral:rRNA from 1 species